rnacentral:tRNA from 1 species
GCUUAAAUAGCUUAAAAAAAGUGUAGUGUUGAAGCCGCUAAGUUGAAAACCCUCUUUAAGCA